UACGGAGGAUGCAAGCGUUAUCCGGAAUGAUUGGGCGUAAAGCGUCCGCAGGUGGCUGUGUAAGUCUGCUGUCAAAGAGCGAAGCUCAACUUCGUAAAGGCAGUGGAAACUACACGGCUAGAGUGCGUUCGGGGCAGAGGGAAUUCCCGGUGUAGCGGUGAAAUGCGUAGAGAUCAGGAAGAACACCGGUGGCGAAGGCGCUCUGCUAGGCCGCAACUGACACUGAGGGACGAAAGCUAGGGGAGCGAAUGGG
rnacentral:rRNA from 1 species